AUCGGCAUUGCUGAUGAGCGCUGAAAACCUUCUACGCUCGCAAAUGCCGCCGCUGCUUUUAACCUUUGACCAUGGAUGUACCGGCACUGGUGGACAAAGCGGCGAUGAGAGAGGUCGGAGCAACAUAGCCCCGGCCUUUUUUCGUC
rnacentral:sRNA from 12 species